UACGUAGGGGCAAGCGUUGUCCGGAAUUAUUGGGCGUAAAGCGCGCGCAGGCGGUCCUUCAAGUCAGAGGUGAAAGCCCAGAGCUCAACUCUGGAAUGGCCUUUGAGACUAGAGGACUUGGGUACGGGAGAGGUGAGUGGAAUUCCGAGUGUAGAGGUGAAAUUCGUAGAUAUUCGGAAGAACACCAGUGGCGAAGGCGGCUCACUGGCCCGUUACCGACGCUCAGGCGCGACAGCGUGGGGAGCAAACAGG
rnacentral:rRNA from 1 species